UAUUAUCUCAAGUUUAUUUUCAGAAGCUGUUUAACACGAUGUCUUUAACGAGCAACCAGUGGAAAUACAUUAAUGAAGGAAACGUUCACAUUGUUCUUGAAAUCAUUAACACAUCGAAUGUAUAUCGUCUCAUAAAAGAUGAUUAUCUCACGAAUUCUGCAUUUGUGUAUCAAAGUGUAGAAUAUGUAAACUGUGUCAUGAUACCCUUGAUACACGGCAAUGCAGCGUAUGAACACGAAAUAGUACCAUUAUCCAAAAAUGAAACAGAAGAGCUUAUUCUGAAGCUUGCUGAUAUGAGACCGAAAAAUAGACAGCACAAAACUUUUAUUUGCCAAUUUGCUAUUAAAGCACCAAACUUAACUAAACUAAAUCCAACAAUUGAUAAUUAUUGUAUAGAAAUAAAACCCAAGGAAGGUUUUCUUGCAAAAAGUUUUCAAAAAUACUCCAAAUGCUAUUACUGUCUCAAACAAUUUUUAAAAUUCAGCAAGAAAGAAAUUGAUAAGGUCAGCGAUUACUGUCCUUUAGACUUUUAUUCUGGAAAUCUGAGCAGAAUGAAAUUUGCCCUGCUAAACUUGAUUAACAACCCUCAAAACAAUUUUAAAAUGUUCAAAAAUGGAAAUAUCAUUUUCAAUGAGCAUUCUAAUAAGGAACAGUUUGAUGAUAUCAUAGAAUCUAUGAUAUUCAAAGAUACUGAUGACUUUCUUAACUUUCUAAUACAACUUUUACUCAGUGAUGGUAAAUCAGACAUUAAUUUGAAUUACAAUGCAUAUACACCUUUCACAUUAAAUUCUAAUUGCAUUGAAAGCAAUGAUUUGCCCUCAAAUUCUUUAUUACACCACCUGUUAUCUCUACAGAAACUCUCAGAAGAUUUAGAUAUUAACUAUUCAAGUGACAAUGGUUAUUGUUAUGUAUCUAAAAUAUUAGAUAGAUUGAAAACUGAAGGUUUAAAUUUGAAGAAUGAAAGUGAUAAAAAUAAGUUUCUGGAUACAGCGGAAAGUAUACAAUUAGCUCUAAUAUCAGCUGUAGCUAAAGACUGCUCAAUUAUGAUAGCAUUUACUGAACAGUGCUGUGAUGGACACCCAUGUGUUACGUUCCAAGGAAAGCAGAUGUCCUACAGAUUGGCCAUGACUGAUUUGGAACCUAAAUCAGUUAAAACUCUUGUGAAGAGAAUUAAUACUGAAAAGCAAUUAGUGGAAUUAUAUGAAAAUGUAAAGAAGAACAUCAUUAGUUAAGAUUUUUAAAAAUCAUGUUAUGAAAUGAGCAUGGAUUAGCUAUAAGAAAAAUAAAGGCCACAAAUUCUUUAACACAUUAGAAUAAUAGAAUCCAACCACACUCUGAAACUCGGCAAAAGCAGCUAGCUGCUUGGGAGGAGCUCAUUGCUCAGUAUUUGAAGGCCACAAAGCAGUCGAUAAUAGAUAUAAGAGAGGCCCCAAACACACCACUAUUCAACAAUGCUGCGAUU